rnacentral:rRNA from 1 species
CAGCCGCCGCGGGAAUACGGAGGGUGCAAGCGUUAAUCGGAAUUACUGGGCGUAAAGCGCACGCAGGCGGUCUGACAAGUCAGAUGUGAAAUCCCCGGGCUUAACCUGGGAACUGCAUUUGAAACUGUCAGGCUGGAGUCUUGUAGAGGGGGGUAGAAUUCCAGGUGUAGCGGUGAAAUGCGUAGAGAUCUGGAGGAAUACCGGUGGCGAAGGCGGCCCCCUGGACAAAGACUGACGCUCAGGUGCGAAAGCGUGGGGAGCAAACAGGAUUAGAUACCCGGGUAGUCCCUGUCUCUUAUAC